UACGGAGGAUCCAAGCGUUAUCCGGAUUUAUUGGGCGUAAAGCGCACGUAGGCGGAUUGGAUAGUUGGAGGUGAAAUCCCAGGGCUCAACCUUGGAACUGCCUUCAAAACUUCCAGUCUUGAGUUCGAGAGAGGUAAGUGGAAUUCCGAGUGUAGAGGUGAAAUUCGUAGAUAUUCGGAGGAACACCAGUGGCGAAGGCGGCUUACUGGCUCGAUACUGACGCUGAGGUGCGAAAGCGUGGGGAGCAAACAGG
rnacentral:rRNA from 1 species